UACGUAGGGGGCGAGCGUUGUCCGGAUUUAUUGGGCGUAAAGCGCACGUAGGCGGCAUUGCAAGUCGGAUGUGAAAUCCCUCGGCUUAACCAAGGAAGUGCAUCCGAAACUGCAGUGCUUGAGUACUUAAGAGGAUCGCGGAAUUCCCGGUGUAGAGGUGAAAUUCGUAGAUAUCGGGAGGAACACCAGUGGCGAAGGCGGCGAUCUGGGAAGAUACUGACGCUGAGGUGCGAAAGCGUGGGGAGCAAACAGG
rnacentral:rRNA from 1 species